AUGGACUUAGUGGGUCUUUGAAUUUAAAUAAAAUAAACAUGUAUAUGCAACACAAAAUAUUUAUAUUCCUUGUGUAAACAUAAUUUAAUUGAUUAUGAUAAAAAUGUUUUGUUUGAAUGUAAAAUGAACACAUUAUUCUCACAUUGAUUAAAAUUGAUUGAAUUGAAUACUUAAAGCAAUAAAAUUGGGUUUGCACACAAAACGGCACCUCCUGAGCAGCAGGGGCAGUAUAGCUCAAUGAGAAGGACAUCGAUUGCCAUAAAAGAAGAAUAAAGAUCGUUUGUUUUGGGCGCCAAAAUGAAGACUCAGCAGCAGUCAGUCAGUCAGAAGAACUCUCUCAGACGGACACCACGUUAUUAAAGUCCAUCAUCCUUUCAUGCGCUACACAGCAUUGAUAAAUGCUGAAUUUAAAAGAAUCACUACUGUCUUAUGUUCCUGUGUCACCUGGACCUCCAAUCCAAAAACCUGAUGAAACACUUCUAUCAGAAAGGAU